CGCCGGUGGCUCUUUGGCCCUGGUGGGGAGCUUCCCGGAAACGAAAGUCUUCCGGUUCCGGGGGAAGUAUGGUUGCAAAGCUGAAACUUAAAGGAAUUGACGGAAGGGCACCACCAGGAGUGGAGCCUGCGGCUUAAUUUGACUCAACACGGGAAAACUCACCCGGCCCGGACACCGUGAGGAUUGACAGAUUGAUAGCUUUUUCAUGAUUCGGUGGUUGGUGGUGCAUGGCCGUUCUUAGUUCGUGGAUCGAUUUGUCUGGUUUAUUCCGAUAACGAGCGAGACUCCAGCCUACUAACUAGUGCGGGCAUUGCCUCUGUGCUUUGCACUUCUUAAAGGGAUUGGCUGCUCUAGCGGCACGAAACGGAGCAAUAACAGGUCUGUGAUGCCCUUAGAUGUCCGGGGCUGCACCCGCGCUACACUGGCAAAAGCAGCGUGCUUGUCCGCCUCCGAAAGGACCGGUAAACCCUUGAAAAUUUGCCGUGAUUGGGAUCGGAAAUUGCAAUUAUUUUCCGUGAACGAAG
rnacentral:rRNA from 1 species